rnacentral:rRNA from 1 species
AAUACUGGGUGGCGACCGGCAAACGGGUGCGGAACACGUACGCAACCUUCCUUCAAGCGGGGAAUAGCCCAGAGAAAUUUGGAUUAAUACCCCAUAGGAAUGUAGUCUCGCAUGAGACAGCAUUUAAAGAUUUAUCACUUGAAGAUGGGCGUGCGUCUGAUUAGGUAGUUGGUGAGGUAACGGCUCACCAAGCCGACGAUCAGUAACUGGCGUGAGAGCGCGACCAGUCACACGGGCACUGAGACACGGGCCCGACUCCUACGGGAGGCAGCAGUAAGGAAUAUUGGUCAAUGGACGCAAGUCUGAACCAGCCAUGCCGCGUGGAGGAUGAAUGCCCUCUGGGUUGUAAACUUCUUUUAUCUGGGACGAAACACUUCUUAUCUAAGGAGCUUGACGGUACCAGAUGAAUAAGCACCGGCUAACUCCGUGCCAGCAGCCGCGGUAAUACGGAGGGUGCAAGCGUUAUCCGGAUUCACUGGGUUUAAAGGGUGCGUAGGCGGAUAUGUAAGUCUGUGGUGAAAUCUCUGAGCUUAACUCAGAAACUGCCGUGGAUACUAUAUGUCUUGAAUGUUGUGGAGGUUAGCGGAAUAUGUCAUGUAGCGGUGAAAUGCUUAGAUAUGACAUAGAACACCGAUUGCGAAGGCAGCUGGCUACACAACUAUUGACGCUGAGGCACGAAAGCGUGGGGAUCAAACAGGAUUAGAUACCCUGGUAGUCCACGCCCUAAACGAUGGAUACUCGACAUUUGCGAUAUAUUGUAAGUGUCUG